GAAAUAAUUGCUCCAUCCACAGUGGUUUUAUAACAAAAGAAAUAUUUUUUCGUGAAAAAAAACCCAACAAAUAUCUGCUUAGUUUUGUCGGCUCUGAAAUAUCUCACAAUCCUUAGACCCUUGCUAUAAUGACAAACAUUCAAAUAACAUUCCCUGUAUAUAUACAGAAACUAAAUCAUCAUCAAAUUAGUGAUAUCAUCUCCCAAUCAAAACCUUGAAACUAAAUCAUCAUCACACAAAAUACUAUACAAACUCUCUCUCUCUCUCUCCCCCCCUCUCUCCGAAGCCAACGACUCCAUUGUUUGGGUUUUGAACACAAAAAACAAAGCUUAACAUACAACCAGCCAAUCAAUCUAACUAUGCUACAAUUGUUCUUCGCGGUGGCCUUCUCGGCGAUGCCUUUGACUCUGUACGUGCCGCCAAUUCGAUCUCUAAGCCUCUUGGUGGAGACCAUCGAGGACUUCUUUCGCCAGACAUCCUUGUACACUGUCAGGGCUUAUCCCAGGAUUCGUGAUGUGUUUUCUAGUAUCUUUCGCAAUAUUUUUAACUUGUUCAGGUAGACUUUGCCCCUCAUCUUUUUUCACCUGCCUGUUUCACCUCAUCUUUUUUUAGUUCUUCUUCUUCUUCUUCUUCUUUUGUUAAGGGUUCUUCUUUUUCUUGUUGUUUCCGAGUCUGAUCCUGGAAAUGACAGGAUCUGAUGUGGAUGGAAAACAAAUUGAACAAGGCUAUAUAUUUUUCUAUUAAUACUCUCUUUCUUUCGUUUUCCCAUUGAUCAGUUCUGGAACCUGUGACUGUAUUUUGCUGCAAGUAAUAUGUGAUUAUAUAAUUUGGGUCUCUUUUUCUUCCUCGUGAUUCAAAUAUAAAGUAUAAUCUGUUAGUUUUGCUACAAUUUCCGGCACGGUGUUUUAGGUUUGCCUUGUGAGAGAUUUAAGCAACGAACAAGAAAGGGUUGCGAGUCUGUGUGUUGCUUGCUGGGCUGUUCAUACUUGGUUCCAGUAGAUAAGAUUUUAUUAGCUACAUUUGCCAGUGAUUGGCUGGGAUUAUGAUGUAUAAAUGUUCUUCUCAGUUUUUGACCAACAUAUUUAUUACCAAGUUAACUUAGGCUUCUGGAUUUUGUUAGUCGUAGUUUUAUGAUUUACCAACCAUUACUUGUUUAUAUUAAUAAGCGUGUGUGUGUAUAUAUAUAUAUAUUACUUUAUAUUAGUUUUUAAAAAUAUUUUUGUUUAGAUUUGGACUGAAAAUAAAACUUAUUUUUGUCAAAACUAGGUGUAAUUAAAUGAUUAAUUCGCAUAAUAGAAAUAAAUGAUAAAUGAGAGAUACGAGAGUGGGACUCAGAGAACUAUGUGAUUCUGGAAUAAUAAGGCGCGCAGGGAUAGGUGGCUGGCAAUUGAACAUUCUUCAUGCUGAUAAUCACUGCCAAUUUUUAGAACCAAAAAAAUAUAUGAUAAUUUUAUUAGAAACCUGGAGAAGGGAUUAUAAUAAUAUUUUUUUUAUUUUUAAUAUCAACAUAUUUAAAUAAAAAAAAUUUAAAAAAUUAAUUUAAAACUAAAUAAAAAAUAUUUUUAAAAAAUGUAAAACACUAUAUAAACAUAGAGAAACUCCUAAAACAAAAACAAAAAUAAAUAAAAGAGUUCCAUUUUGUUGAAAUUGUCCAGGAAAAUUCAGCAGGUCAAAAACUUUGACUCACGGGGGAGGAGAUGACACAAGUGAACUUUCAAAUCUGCUUGUGCCCGUGCUGCACGUGACAACUCAAAACCUUGUGCUGUAGAAGAGUUUGUCUGAGAAUAAUCAUCCACCACUGCAAAUACAAGAUGAUCUUUGUGAGUUUAUUUCUUGAUAGAAUUCUAACCAGUCCGAGCUAAGAGUUAAGAAAUACAAGAUGACCUUUGUGCAUCCUCUUCUCCCGAAUUCAAAAUUAAAACAAUUCUAACCAGUCCGAGCUAGAGUCUGUCCACGAUAAGAUGCCCAGAUCCUAAGCUCCAAGGAAUCAAUCACUGGAAUUUUCUUGAAGAUCUACAUCCCCGGUAGACUCUGCUCUGCCAAUCCGCUCCAAGAAAUUCUCCCAUUCAUCUGGAGGAAAACAAAGAUUCUCGCCUAUGAACAAAGGAGAUUAUCAGAUGCCAAUCAUAUAAUAUGGUAAAGAAAACUGAUGCUGACAAAAUGGAAAAAAUUCCUCACGACAGAGAGGGAGCUGAGAGAUAUUUUACAGGGUAGAACAACAAAAAAAGAUGUACCAGGAAAGAUUUUUUGAAGAUAGAAAAGAAUGGAUAUUCCAUCAUCAUUUUCCAUCCGCAACUCAGAGGAUGAUAUAUGUUUAUGCACGAUCUUGAUUUGGGCAAGAUCCCUCCUCGGAAAAUAAUGUUUAUGUUUAUUUUUUUUUAGAAAUAUAUUAAAAUAAUAUAUUUUUUUAAUUUAUAAAAUUUAUUUUUAAAAUCAAAUCUAAAAAUAUAAAAAAUUAAUUUAAAAAAAAAAUAUUAAAUUCUAGCUGAACUUGAUUUAGGGGUUUGUGAUAUAAUAUAUGGCUCAAGACAAGUUCUUUUGGGAACCAUUUUGAAGUCAAAUUUAGAUGACUUGAUAACUCAACUUGUUAUUUAUUUUAACCUAGUAAAAUCUAAGGGAGAUGCGAUUCAUUUCAAUUCAAAAUGAUAUAUUUUAACCUGAUUAGACCCUGAGUCCCGAGCAGGAUCCAAUCUCUUAAACCAAACAAUCAAAUUAGAGUUUUACUCCUUCCUAUCGAUUUUUAGUUUCUGGCUCUACUCUCUGUACACCCUCACACGCUAGGGUUCGCAUUCUUUAAAUUAGCUAAAACCCUAGUUUAUGGUGAGUUUAUUUAUAUUAUGUGAAAUUAUUGUUUAAUCAUUAUGAUUUUUGUUGUUUUUGUUGAAUGUUGAAAUAGCAAGCUUGGAUGGAUGACCCUUCUAGCUCGGCUACGACACUUGCGUGAUAUUGGGUAAUUGAGUAUCUGGCAAGUUUUCCUGAAAUAGAGGCCUCGAUUUUACAUGGUAUGUAUACAGCAUUCUCGAAUUUAUCCAUUUUUUUCCCUUUAUGUUCUCGCGUAAGAAAUGCGAGUUAUAUGCUUUGAAAUGAAAUGUGGUGUAGGUGAGUUGUUUUGAUUGGUUCUUUUGGUGGGUGGUUGAGAUGUUAUGUUGUGUUCAAUUUGUUCCAGAUUUGAUUGAGGCGGCUCCGAAAAUACCUGAAGAUUUGAGGAAAAACACUAGGGAAAUAGCUGCUUUGAGAUGCUUAGAGGAUUUUUUUUGUCAUAAUAACGGAAUCACGAAUGAUGUUCCUUCUAAAGAACCCAAAGUCACAUUUGAUUUGUCAGAGAGUUGUGAAGAUGUACUUCAAUCAAUAUUGCAAGAGGUGAUUCUGUUUACAAUUUCAGCUUUCACCUGUAAGCAAUUUGGAUUUGAAGCAGCACUUAUAGUAUAAAAACUUGUUAUUCAAGUGGGUUAUAUUUGAGAUGUUUUGACAUGGUUUCUUGUUUGUUAGACAUCGGUAUCAGAUCUGAAAAGGGCUGGACCGGGGCGAUUGAAAUGGGAUACUCACCCUUUCAUUAUGCAUAAAAGAGCUUCUAUGCCUAAAUGCGCUUUAGAAAAGGUGAUCGAUAAUUUCUUUAUUUUGUUAAGUUCCUUGUAAAAUAGAAAUGUACAUUGUUGAUCCUCAUUAGCUGUUUGUGGCUGUUUUUAUUUUGUUAUUGGAAAGCAGGUGAAGGAUGCAAUCCUUGAGGGUAUUCAUCCAUAUGCCUCAUUGAAGGAAUAUAGUGGACUGGUGGAUGCAAAUGAUAGGUGGACUGGUGGAUGCAAAUGAUGGGGACCUUGGUGCACCCGCAUGGAGGAUUGAUGGGAGUGGAAGAAAAUUCCAUUCCUUUAAGAGGGAUAGAAGUGGAAGAUGAUUCAUGUAACAGGAACUCAUUACACUUUAAGAGGAACUCAUUACACUUUAAGAGGGAUAGAAGUGGUUUGGCUAAUGAAAAUCUGGCUGGAGACCUUGAAGACCAAAAUUGUGUUGAUGAUGGCGAUCAUCUUUAUCCACAAGCCAAGAGGUUCAAGCAAGAUGCCUUAUGUGACUACCAGUCUUUGGAACACAUUUCAACUCCUCAACAGCACAUGGAAAUGGUAGAGGAUUCAAUUCAAAGAGUGACUGGGGAUUCUGAAAACAAAGAUUGUCACAUGGAAGAAAAAACUUCACAAGGUGGAUUGGAAGAAAGCAGGUCUGCAGAGAAUGGUCAUGAUGAAUGUGUUGGUAUGGAUAGGCAUGGGAAGAGUCUUGAUCCUGAUAAUGCAUUCCAGCAUAAUCAGCACGAGAUUGCUCACAAUGCCAACAAAAUGCCACAAGAUAUAUCUGGGGAUGGACUCCACCUGUAUAGCUUAGUGGAUGAAAUCAAUUGUGCUGAACCUAGAAUAUCAAACACUGCACCAUCUGUAGGAACCCCAAAUAAAUUCUUUGUUAAUGAAAACAAAGAUAACUCUGAUCAUAGUGGUCAACUAAAACCAUCAAAUUCUUUGUGCCACCCUGAUGCAACUGUUAGGACUAAUCAUAUAUCUAAUGGAGAAAAGGUGGGGGAGCAGAUGGUUCGAGAGAACCCUUCUGGAACUGGACUUGACAGAAACCAACACGAAGUUUGUGUUGAUCCUAUUGACAACGAUGUUGAUCAGUCGUGUAAAGAAAAAGAUGUUUUCUCUGGAAGCCAGAGUAAAGAUGGACAAAGACAGAAAGCUGUUUGUGCCACCAACAUCGACGGAGGAGAAACCUCUGAUGAUGAAAAUGACAAGUCAUCAACUUCUAAUUACUUCAUACAAUUCCGAAACAGAGAGAAACAAUGGUAAGUUUCCAGUUAUUCCAAGUGUUAUGCGGGUGGUUAUAGUGCUUCUGAAUGCCAUUUCCAGAACUAAAAUAAUUUGGACUUUUAUUUUUUACUACCUUCAAACAAUCUUUUCAUGCAAUGUCAACCUUUUUCUAUUAUUGUUUUGUUGUGUGUGUUUGUGCAAAUCACUUUGCUCCCUUGUUCAACCACAUCCUUGCUAAUUGGCAUUUGAUUGCGGUGACAAUCAGUGUUGUCAAGAGGCGUUGAGGCGCUCCAGGCGAGGCCCCAAUGCUUUUAUUAGCCUCAGGCGUUGAGUGGGUGCAAGGUGUUAAGUUCAAUGAAGCACUGCCUAGGCGAGCGCCUUAUGAGUGGGUGCAAGGUGUUAAGGCUAGUGCCUGCUUGAAGUUCUUUUUCUAUUGGAUUUUUUUUUUUUAACUGAUUUAUGUUUUGACCUGUUUGUCCAUUUUUUUCAACUGAUAUUUAAUUUUGCUUUUUAAACUACUUGGCUACUUAUUACUUGAAACUAUCUUAUGUUGUUUUAAGGGUGAAAAAUAUAACUUUAUAUGACUAUGUUAUGGUAUUUUAUAUUUUCUUUUGAUUUUCUAAUGAUCUAAUUUCAAUUGGGAAGAUAUAUAUAUUUUAGAUUUAUAUAACAUAAUAUAAUAUUACAUUUUUUUUUUAAUUUAUAGCAUAUCGACUUGGUUCAUUUGGGUGAGCACCUAGGGCCUCGGGCAUUUUAGAGGCUUGGUGCCUUUUAGCACCUUUAACCUUUUACGCACUGUUGACAAUUGUAAUUGGUCUUAAUGUUUAUUCUGAUCUGCAGUUCAUACCCUGCAAUGCCUCGGUUGAGGCGGAAAAAGGUUCCAUGGACAGUUCAGGAGGAGGAGAUGCUCAAGGUACUUGUUUCUUGCGUAUUUGCUUCUGUCACCAAUAUUAUUUCAAUGAUAUGCUUUUAGGUAAAAUGCAUUUAUAAGUAUGCAAGGAGAGUGAUUUUCUUGGUUGUGCAUUAUAUAUGCUUUUUUCUACAAGCGCAUAUCAUAUAGUUGUGGCAUUUAGCUCUUCAGUGUAUAGGCCUGUCAGACUUUAAUUUCUUUCUCUUACUGUUACAGGAGGGAGUGCAGAAAUUUUCAAGCGACGGAAAAUUUCCAUGGAAGGACAUUUUGGAGUAUGGUAGUUCUGUGUUUUUGAGUGGCCGUACAACAAUAGACCUUAAGGAUAAAUGGAGGAACAUGUGCAAAGUAAGCCCUAAAUUCAAGUAAAAUUUUGCCAGCCUCAUCACUUUGCUUAUAUGGACGUGUUCUCAUAUUUGGGUCUGCUCAGCCUCACUUUUUUGUUAGGAUUCUUACUGAUGAUCAAAGAAACUUGUGUGCAUUAAAUUACACCUUGCUCUUUCCUGUAUAUAGUUAAUGGUAAACCUGAGAGAAGCAUGAAACUUGUUGGCUGGGUCAUGAGCACACGUGAUCAAUAUUUUGGGACGAUCUGUGUUGUUAUCACUGAACAUAUUGCAUCCAAUCUUAAGACAUUACAGCUAAAUUUUGCGUGCGUUAAUGAAUGGAAUCAAAUCUGUCUUCACGAGAAGACAUACCUUAAUCAUCUCCUUGGAUCACUUAACAGAGAACCUACAUGAAAUGAGGGCCAGAACGCAUCUGUUUUUCCUUUUCUUCUACUCCCUUUUUCUUUUUUUCUUCUGUUUUUUUUAUGGGGAUAUCACGUCUGUCUUCUUGUUCUGUUUUAAGGGCCCAGAGCUCAUUUUCAUGAAGAGCUAAUGCAAUCAAAUCAUCAACUUGUUUGACAAUUUGCAAGAAUCGAACACAUUACGCUUAAAACAGGUAUCUUUGCAGUGAACAAGGUUCUGGUGAAAUAUCUGAGAUGACCUGCAUUGUGAAUGGUCUCAUUGCAUUGAUUGCCAUGUGAGUUAUUUUCAUUAUAGACGCCUUCAUAUUUGCUUGGUCAUUAGUAAAUCAUGGUAACUGUCGUGCAAGCAUUAGAACCAUGAGUGAAGAAUGAUAAAAUCCACUCGUGACAGGAAUAGGGCAAGUUGAAGAGCACAAUCUACUUUACACGUGACAUGUUUUGAUAAUUUGCAGAGCAUAGGUAGCUACAGUUACUUAAGUAGUACUUGACCCAAAGACACAGAGCUUUUGACAUGGGAUAAAGGUGAGAGUCUCGGGAAUCAGGUCGUCAAGGCAGGACAACAUGUGAAUUAGGGCACGUGAAAAUGAAAAAUGUUGAGGCGGGCUUGCUCCAAGUAAAAAUCCAAUUCUUGUAGAAACACUAGUGUAGAAUCCAAGGCAAAGGAAGUCAGAUAGUGAUGGCUUUGCAAGGUGGAUUUUAUUGAAUGCGUCAUCACUCUAAAGGCAGUCAAGCUGUUCAUGACCCAAUUCCAGUCACCACCACAACGCAAUCUUAUCAUUCACUCUCGCUAAGUUUUUUCUGUUUGCGCAGACGGCUGAGUGCCAAGUUCAACAGCACUUGGUAUCAUUUUUCCUAGAUCUUAUAUAUAUAUAUAAAUCGGAGAUAUUGCUCGUACAAAAAAAUCUUUCAAUGUGAUGAAGUUAAGUGGGAUGUAUGUGCUGAUGGUAAACUCGACUGAUGCAAUAAUUUUUCAUCUCCGACGUUGUAGUGUUAAUUAUCGAGACUGCAUAAGGAAAUAGAAAAGUAACCAAUUACUUCUUACAACUAGUUUACUUUCAAGCAAUUCCAAAUUUUUUGUUUUUUUUUGUUUUUAAUCAACGGGCUUGUAAUUUAUUUUCACGAGUCUGUUUAAUGUGAAGGACAAGCUCCAGCAGCAUUUACUUUCCUCCUGACUUUUAAAGUUCAACCACCCUGUGAUUAUAAGAGGGAAUUUGGUUAUGUAGCGUUGUCCAACAUUUUGGGCAGGAAAGUCUAGGUAUCCAUUUUAACUUUUUUUGCUUUCGUCAACUUAUUCCAACUCGUACAGCGUCGCUAACUUGGUUCCUUCCUGCACCAUCAACUCGACUAUGGUAAUCUCAUUUUCCUUCCAUCCAUACAAGAUGUGACAUGUUGUCAUUAAAAGGUUUUUUAAAAUAGAAAACGCCACCAUCGAAAUAAUUUUAAAAAAGUCAAAGUUUUGAAAUUAUCUAACACUCACAAACGGUCACAUGGGCAUGAACUCUUCCUCAGCGUGACAACAUUUAAACCAAAGCUGUUCUCUCACACUACAUAUCCCGCGCCUUUCCACCCUUUUUUUGCACUCCCCAAGUCAAUACUCUCACUCAAAACCCCCCCACUGAGCUUACUUUCACACCCUAAAAACUCUAUGGAGAAUUGCGGAAAAUCUCCAUUGAAGCCGUGGAAGAAAGGUCCAACAAGAGGCAAAGGUGGUCCUCAAAACGCCAUGUGUGACUACCGAGGGGUACGUCAAAGAACAUGGGGCAAAUGGGUGGCAGAAAUAAGGGAACCCAAGAAGAGAGCAAGACUAUGGUUGGGUUCUUUUGCUACGGCGGAAGAAGCUGCCAUGGCCUACGAUGAGGCUGCAAGGAGAUUGUAUGGACCAAAUGCUUAUCUUAAUCUACCUCACCUUCAGUCAAACUCUAGCCCUCCCAACAAAUCACAUAAGUUCAAAUGGAUUCCUUCCAAUAACUUCAUCUCAAUGUUUCCUUCUUGUGGGUUGCUUAAUAUUCAUGCACAGCCUAGCGUUCAUGUCAUCCAUCAGCGGCUCCAAGAACUCAAGAAUAACAGGCCCCUAAAUCAAUCCUCUGUUGCUUCUAGCUCUUCUUCCUCUGAAUCCAGAACUGAAGUGAUGAUUGUAAGUGAUGAAAACUAUGUUGCAAAUGUUUCUGCAGCAGAGAAAGAUGAGGAGAUAUCAUCAGAGAAGAUGCUGCUAACAAAUCAUGACGAGAAACCACAGAUUGAUUUAAACGAGUUCCUUCAGCAGCUGGGCAUACUGAAAGAAGAGAAUCAGCCAGAUAACAAUGAUGUCGAUGAACAUUUCACGGAGCCAGAAUCUUCACAUAAAGAUCAAAACGAACUUACAGCCUUGGCAGACAAGAGUUUCGAUUGGGAUUCACUGAUUGAAAUGCAUGGAAUUGCUGAUCAUCAAGGAGAGGAAUUUAAUAGUUUCCCAGUUUAUGACAUCCAAAAAGAGCUGGCUUUCCCAACUUCCAUUUGGAACUUCUAGGAGGAUAAAAUGAUUUAGGAAGAAUGAAAGCUAACUUUGCUGCCUGCUCGAUUGGAACUAGGAUGUCUGUUUUCACUUAAUUAGGCCAUACUGUAGUUUGCUCUAGAUCUACUGCCCGUUGAAUUGCUCUGUGAUAGUAGUUAGUCAUUUCCAUGGCAACAUAGAUCAGACUAGAAAGCAUUUGACCUUACCACAGAGAGAGAGAGAGAGAGAGAGAGAGAGGAGGAGGCUUGCUGUAUAAGUUAUAGUAGCAAGGGUUGGGUAGAGGGAAGUUCACUGUUGCAAUGAUAAUAGCAUUUCACUAGGUUUCUUUUUGACCCAUGGCUGAUGUGAACUCUCAUCAAAUGUUUUGUUCGACUGAUUUUGGCUGCGCUAGGUUUAUUUGUGCUUCUGUAAUUUUGCUAGCUUUACAACAAGGGGAAUUCACAAGGAAGCAUGUUACAAGAUCAUUGAUGGACAAAAUAAUCUUAAGGUAGAUUUUUCACAUUCACAGUUCUAUGCUUUAGCAGACCUUCAUAGUUCAUUAUAAUAAAUUGAUCAACAAGCCCUCUCAUUAUCUGUGCUCACAUGCAGGAUCAAACCUAAAAAUGUCUAAUUUGUGAGUCAAGAGAAAAAAAAAAUGAGCUUAGUAGUCAGAAUUUUACCUGGAAGUAAGGAUCAGGCUGCUACUUGCUAACCAACAGUUGAACCGUGAAGGUCUGCUAAAGCAAAGAACUAAACAAUGAGCAAUGACAAAAUGAAAAGACGCAAAGACGAGAGAGAAAAAAAGAAGAUAUAAAUGCUUCUCAUGCAGCAUAUCCCAUAUAAAAUUAUAUGCGAAUGCAGUCCUUCAUAAAAAUUCUCUUGCGAGGCAAAUUCCUCAUUGAUUAUGACUGUUGUGAGAAGCCAUUCUUUCAGGCUUUCCUUUUCUCUUGAUUUAAUGAGAAGGUUCAAACCCCAACUGCACAAUCAGAAUUGCCUACAUUUAUCACAAUUCCAUGCCUAUCACUUCAUAUGAUGAUAAAACUUUUCCUGUGUGUAGUUUAAUUUAUCAGAAAACCUAUUACCUACAAUGCAAAAGAAUAUCUGGACAAGAGAUUUUUUAUCUAUUUCAAAAUUAUAGUAAAAAAUACAAAGUAUAAUCUUUUCCAGAUAAUUAGAUAAAUUAAAAGAAGCAAAAUAUGCUCUGAUCAACUAUCAGAUUACUUUGAUCCAAAUACAAAUAGUGAAAAUACUUCCAAGUAAUGUCUUCUAGCAAGCCAUUUGAUAAUCUCCAACAGUUUAAAAAUACCCUCUUCCCUAGCUAUCUUUGAUCAUUCAUUGAGGUACUCUGAUGCACUUAGAUACUCCCCUUGCUCCUCAAAAUGCUCAAUUAAUCGCUUUAAGAACCCAUCACCACUCACUGUCUCUGUGUCACAUACAAGACAACACUGUCUUCUUGCCCGUGUCACAGCCACAUUCAUCCGCCUAUGGUCACUCAAAAACCCCACCUGAAAUGUUUUGGAAAAGUUUCCAAGUUUCAACAGCUAAAGAUGCUAUAUAAUCUUUAUAACUGAUCUUAAUAAUCUAAAUCUAAAAGGAAACAAAAAGGUGUACUGAAGAGGCUUAAAAUACCUCUUUCUUUGAGUUUGAUCGAACCAUUGAAAUAAUGAUGGCUUCCUUCUCUCGACCCUGGAAACCAUCCACUGUUGAGAUUUCCAUAUCCUUUAGCUUAUCAUCAUUGUUUUUUAAUAUCCUGAGCAAGACAACCUGCAGUACCAGUGGCAGCAUAUAUAAGGCCAAACUAUCCCAGGGAUUGAGAAUGUGCAUAGAGCAGAUUGUCACUUGCCUAGCAGCUACUUAUCUAGAAGCACAUAACAAAAAAAAUGCUCAAAAGAUAUACACUUCUAUACCUGUGCUGCAUAAGGAGUAAUUAUUCCAAUGUCAGAAGCCUGGACUCCACUCUGAACAAGUCUCUUUGCAUGGGCCACUGCAACUUCAGCUUCUCCCUCAUUCAUUGUGCUAUCUUCUUCAUCCUUCUUUUCCUCCAUAUCACACCUGGAUCAGAGAAGUGUGAAGUGUGAACCAAUUAUAAUCUAAUUUAAAGGAAAAGGAAGAGGAAGAGGAAGAGGAAGAGGAAGAGGGGAAAAAAGAUUCCUAGCAUAGAAGGCCUCCUGAUAUCAUCUGGGAAUAAAAUCCAAUCUACUUCACUUCUCCUGAUACUUCAACUGUUUCCAGCUCUGAUUUGAUUUGAAAUUUAUUUUCACUCAGAAAUAAAUAAAUCUUCUAAUAGUUCAAUUAAAAGGAGUAAGUUCUGUUUUCUUGAAGCAUUUUAAAGAUACAGGCAAUUUCAUGUGCACUGACCACCUCUAAGAAAACAAAGACUAUUUAGCAUAUUGCAACAAUAUACUACGUACCCAGCUAUGUCUACAAGAAGAAGGGUCGGUUCUGUAGAAGAGGAUCUCUUGACACCCUCAAGAUCAAAAAGCAUAUGUGCAGCAACACUCGGAUGGGCUUUGAUCUAGAAUAAACAUCAUAGACCCAAAAAAAGAUGAUGAACACUGUUAUACAAUCACAACAAUUUUGGUUUAUUUACUAAUAAUUUUAUCAUGCAGCCAAAACCUAAUGAUGAUCUGAGCACCUUACUGUUGUAAAGCUCUUUAGAUGACCAGUUCAUAAUUAGUUCAUGCAUGCGGUACUGGACAGUGAGCAUAGAAGUGACUUCAUCUCCAUACAGAUCCGUGAGGCGUUCAAAGAGGGUUCUUCCCAGCCCUUUCUUCUCAGCUUCAACACUUUGGAUGGUUGGAGGAAGCUGAAGAUGGUCUCCUGCAAGUAUACACCUUGAACCCUGAAGAAAUGAUCACAUGUCAUUUAGUGGUGGUUGUAAUGUUAAAAACACUCAUUUUAUAUCAUGUCUUUGAAAACCUUGUAUUCUUUACAAACCAUGUAAAGAUAAUAACAAAUUGCCAUGGUGGGAGAUAACCAGCCCCACCAAGAUCUUGAAGACUUAAGACCUAUUUGACUCUGAAUAAUGGAAAUCUAAAGGCAAUUUCCACGCCCUUUUGUGUGGGGCGCGCGCGCGCGCGUGUGUGUGGUGGGGGGGUAUGGAGGGUAUUUUCUAUACAAGGGCUCUACUCAACUAAUGGGACUUGGGCAGCCAUAGGAAACUUGGUGAAUGUGUGUGGGGAGGAGGCAUGGCCUCUCUGGCUCUUCCGGUCACCCCAAUGCUCAGAUAGUGACUGUACUAUGUUCUGAGUGGCAUACCUACAUGUUUAGCAAAUGUUCAAUUCCUGCAUACCCAGGUUUCACUGAAAGUGCAAAUACAAGUUUUAUAACUGUAGUAAUAUUGUACCUUCAGUAAAGCAAGCCAGCAAGUUAUCUCAAGUGCCUGAGCAGCUUCAUCAAUAAUCACCAAAUCAAACGAAGUAGUAUUCAGCUUGUGAGAAAAUGCACCAGUCAAAGUCGUCAACACCACAUCUGCAUUUUUAAUUACAUCUAUCACGGCUAACUGCUGCCUUUUACGUUCUUCUUUUGAAAGAGUCCUGAGUUCCUUCUGUAUGUCUCUUCUUGUGCUUUUAUCUUUGGUUUUCAACAAUUUUCCAUUUAAUGCCUGAAUAAAUGCAGAGGAGAUAUAUUUGGGGAAUAUGAGGCACUUCACUAAAUUAUGGAAGCACAAAAAGAAGCUUACACUUGAAAAAAGAAAGAAAGAGGUUAACAUACUUAUUUUAAAGGGUUUUUUUUCCCUUUUCCUUUCUGGUAGCAAUUCUUGAUAUUUUAGUUUUGUAUUAUUACACAAUCCUUCAGGAAGUUAUAGCUACUGCCAACUACUUUAGACUGCAGCAAAUAAUUACAUUCUUUUCUUCUUCUUUUUUCUUUUUUUUUUCAAAAAAAAAAGGAAAAAAGUUCCUUGCCUAUUUCAACUGUUUUUUUUAUAUAUAUGAACUAGGAUGCAUCUACAUGAGGUUGCUGAGGACAUCUGUAGCCUUCCCAUUUGCAUCAAAGGAUUAAGCACUUGUAAGAAUCACAUCUAUUCCCAUUCAACAUCUAUGAUAUUUUAAUGCAACGCUAUAAAAGUUCAAACUCAAAUACAACCUUGCAGUAGAAGUAUUUUCUUCACAUCUAAUUAAAUACAUUAAACUACAGGUUUUAUGUGCAUAGCAUUAGAGCUAAAUUCAUUCAGCCUCAUUGGUGAGAGUAUUAUUCUCUAUUGAAAUAGUAGUAAAUUGUCCACAUUCGAAAUUAUUUUCAUAAGAAAAAACAAAGUUGUGUAUUUCUUAAUAAACAGAACAGGAAAAAACCAGUUUUUUCAAAUAGUUUGUGACUAGGCUUAGUUGGAUUGGUUGAGUUCAACUCUUAAAGAGAGCACUCUAAAUAGCCUUCAACUGUUUCACUCUUCACCAGGCAAACCCUCUACAUUUAACUUGAUGAAUGAAUACUUCAAUUAUUCAUCCCCUUUUCUAGUCUAAAUACCUCGGCUUCAAAGAUGCCAUGACUCUUGUCAUCUACCAUGCAAGGCCUCAAAAAACUAUCACAAAAAAAUGAAUGCAGACUACCUUUCUGCUUUAAAAUCAAAAUUUGUUUCUGCAAAUUAUAAUGACUUGCGUCCUGUGGGGAAGGAUUAAUUGUAUAAACACAGGAAACAAACCGUCUAUUUCCUGAAAUAGCAAAUAAAGAUAUAUUUGGAGGAGCAAGUUAAGAUCUGAAUCUCUACCUUCAUUUCCUUCCGAAUGUCAUUUGCAAGAGCGCUGUUGUCCCCCCGUAGAACCUAACAGCAAAGAAACAAAUGCAUAAGAAAAACAUGAUAACUCAAAUGUAAGUAAGUAGUAUGUGAAAAAAAUCAUUGUACAUCAAGAGUGCUCUAUCCACUUUGGAAGAAAAUUGGGGUAAACAAAGGAACUUCCUUCCUCAUUAUCAUAUCCACAACUAGAAAACAUGGAGGAAGGUUUGUGUAUUGAUAAAUGGCAAAAAGGUAUUAUAUUCGUAUGCAAUAAAAAAUGCUAACUGCAUAGAUGUUGAUAAAUGACAACUUAUCAAGCAAGAAAUAAUUGUAAACAUUAAGUUCAGUUCCUUGAAGAAAGCAAAAAAAAAUAAAGAUAGUUAUCCCCAAAUGCUACCACAAGAAUCCUCAAGACAAUCCCAAAUCCCAACAUUUUGUAAUGUACAAAUAUGAAUUCAAUAAGUGAACAACCUGAAUGAAAGAGCACAUGUACCUCAAGUAGAUGAACAUGGAGAUAAGAACCUCAAAUUCAAUUUAUUUAUUUUUUUAUUUCCAAACAUCAAAUAUCUUAGUAUACCUGUGCAUCAAGUGCACUGUCCAAUACUUGAGGUAGCAAGCGUGCAGGAUGCCCCAAUCUCACUAACUUUACUCUGAUAAGGGAAUGGAAAAUGAGAAUGAGAAAUUUUUGUAAUACUACCCAUGAUGACACUAAUGAACAAUCAGCAGAGAAGAACUACUCAGCAUUAAUCUAACUAGCUUGACUGUGAGAAAGGGAAAAAAAAAACCAGCAGUUCAAAGAUUUUAGUUCCUAUUUGCUCAAACAACCUUUACUUGUUAGGGGGGGUCCAAAUUAGAUCUUAAAUUCAUAAUCGCAUUGUUUAACUUGAGGAAGAACCACUACUAGGAUUGCAAAGAAAUCUUUAUAAUCGUGUUAAUGCUAGGUUAGAUUCCAAAUUUUAAUUUACUUACCCAUACAUUAGGGAAUCAACAUACCUGUGAGGAACAAGUCGCUCAACAAUGUUGUCGACAGCAAUGUUUGAAGCAGCACAUGCAAGAAUCUUUGAUCCUCUUUUCACUUCUUGCAAGAUAAUUUCCACCACAGUUGUGGUUUUUCCAGUUCCAGGAGGUCCAUGUAGCAAAAAUACAUUCUUUGAUGACAGUGCCUUUGAAAUGGCAUCUUUCUUGACCCCCCGAAAAAAAAAAAAAGAGAGAAAAGACAGAAAAAGAAAACAAGCAGAAUAAUUUUUUUAGCUUGUUGAAUAGCAUGAAAUACAACCAGUAACAUGCAAGAUUCAAAACCAAAAAGCACCUGGUUUAACUUUUCUAAUAAGAGAAUAUAUUUCAGAAAUGAUGUAAACUGCUUGAGAGUUUGCUCAUAAAAAAAAAACUCAAAAUACCAUUGCUUCCUCAUUUGAUUAUACAGUAAGAUUGAUCCACACACACAAAGCCAUACUCACAUGCACAGAGAGCCUCAUGUAAAGUUGACACAGAAUAAUAAAAGGCUAGAUCUUAUCAGGGAGAGUGCAUAUGGUUACUAUUGCCAGGAUGUUUCAUUCCCAUCAGAUUUAAUAUUAGUGGCAACCUUGAGUUAUCUUAAAAUGAGGAACGAGAUAAAGAACUGAGGAGCCAUCAUAUAGACAGUAGAAAGAACUAUAAGAAUGCACUUGCACACCUGAGAGUGAUCAAGGUGGGAGUUAAUUGGGGUGAAUGUAACAUCCUUUUUUGACAUUGUUGGUUGUCUCUCUCCAAAUAAAACAGGAAUUAAGUCAGCAGCGGGGCCUCUAUGCACACCUUUGCUCAACUGAAUCAAGGCAUCCUUCAUCCUCCGAUAUGUCACCUGCAUAAGAAAUCCAAACCUACAGCAAUCUCACCCCAACUAUCAUAAUUCGAAAAAGUGCAGUCCUCAGGAUAACUAAAAUUAAUCCCUACAUAGACCACAAGGUGAUUACAUUUUCUCUCAUUCAUUUAUCGGACUGCAUAACUUGUAUUUACAAGCCAUUAGGUAUAGAGCCUGUUUAUUAUAUCUGCUUUUUCAAAAGCACUCUUUGGCAUGCUUUGUUUAGAAGCUUUUUUGCAGCUGCUUUCACCAUGGUAAUCACAAAAGCACCACAUAAACAUCAUUUGACUUCUUUUAAAAAAGCAUACAAAAAGGGAGUUUUUACAACCACAAGGCUGAAAAAGCUUACAGGGGGCAGAUAAAAUACGACACAAAUUUCACCUACUAUAUGGUUCACAUAAUCCAGGACUAAACUACUCACAGAAUCAAAUGAAUGAAAUAAAAUCCUCUAUGCUGCAACCAAGAAACAAUAAGCUCGCACAAACAUUUAUCCCACACUAGCUUGUCACGCAAAGCCUGUAACACUAAACUACUCACAGAAUCAAAUGAAUGAAAUAAAAUCCUCUAUGCCGCAACCAAGAAACAAUAAGCUCGCACAAACAUUUAUCCCACACUAGCUUGUCACGCAAAGCCUGUAACAAGAAAUCUUUAGAAAAUUUAAAACAAUGUACCUCAUUUGCAACUUUCUCCAAUCGUAGCGGACUAUUUAAACCCUCAUCCGGUAUAUCAUCAAAAGCAACAGUAAUAGACGAGUCCUGUUCAAUAUCCAAAACAAAAAUAUCUGCCACCAAUCAACCACACAAUAAUUUAUAGCCAAAACAAACACUGUAAUCACCCGAACCUCUAUUUCAAAUCCCCGGUUAUUACCUUUAACCGAUAAACAACACCUUGACCAAGAGCAGGGGAUCCUAAAUCAGCUUUGUUCGGUUUCAAGACAACCACAUCAUGUGUGCCAAACUACACCAAAAAAAUUAUUAUGAAAAAAAAUGCCGCAAUAAAAAAUCAAAUUUACAGCCAACUAUUAUUAAAAAAUAAAAUGCUCACCUUAUGAGCAGGUAAAACAUCUCCUUUAUUAGAUUGGAACUCCAGUAGCGUCUUCCCCAUCAAACCUGUCUAUUAUAUAAUUCAAAUAUUUUGAGUUUAAAUUUAAAUAUAUUAAAAUUAAACAAUAACAAAGUAUUUAGUAAUUUACCUGAGCAUCAACGCACUUCAAAUUGAGAAUCGUAGAACCUUUCUUCUGAGCAGAAUCUAAAUUUCUUAACGCGCCUGAACCAAUAGAUGCUGAUAUCUCUGAUUCCUAUAUAAAUAAAUAAUUAAAUUUAUUCACUUUUGAUUUAAUUGAAAACGAUAAAAAAAAAUUUAUAGGAUAGCAGUAGAUAAUAAUGGAGACUGGAGAGAAGAAGAAGAAGAAGAAGAUAAAGGAGGAAAGAAACCUUCUCUAAAUCGAGCAAAGGAGACGUAAUGGAGAUGAAUUCUUGAAGCGAGAGAGCCGCUGCUUUCUUUUUCGUUUUCUCUGUCUCCAUCCUUCCUCGUUGCUUUUGCUUGCUGAGAAUGUGAGAGAGAGAUACUGGGGUCUGUCUAAGCAGUUUUCAUCUCACAACCUGAAUUUUUAAAGUUUGUGUUAAUUUGUUUUUGUAUUUUAAAAAUAUUUUUUAUUAUUUUUUAAUAUUUUUAUAUUAUUUUAAUAUACUUAUGUUAAAAAUAAAUUUUUUGAUAUUUUUCUAAAAAAAAUAUUUUAAAAAAUAAUUAUAAUUAUAAUUUUUACAAAGAAAUUAGAUUCUUAAACUUUAAUGAAAGAUGUAAUUAAGUACAAUCCACUAAAUUAUAUACAUGUUUUGUAAUGGGGUGUAAAAUAUUUUUGUUAUAAAUAUUUUAAUUAAAAAUAUAUUAAAAUAUUUAUUUUAUUUAAAAAUUAUUUUAAAAAAUUAAUUUAAUAUUUUUUUAGAUAAAAAUAAUUUGAAACACAAAACUAAACUCAUAGUACUGAAAAAUUGAGCUAAAUCUAGCAAAGUUUUGAAGGCUUGGAGAUUUACUUGUGAAAUUAUACCUUGGUUGGGAACUAAUUUUUAGGUGUCCCAAAAAUAUAUAUAUUUAUUGGAAACUUGAAAGCAGUUUGGAAUUGUGUUUUAAAUAAUAUUUUUUAAAAAAUAAAUUUAUUUGUUUAAAAUUAUUUUUUAAUAUUUUAAAAUUAUUUUGAUGUGCUGAUAUUAAAAAUAAUUUUUAAAAAUUUAAAAAAAUAUAUUAUUUUAAUAUAUUUUUAAAUAAAAAACAUUUUUAAAAAAUAAUAAUUAUUACAUUCUUAAAUUCCUUAUAGAUUCACAUGAAAAGACUGUCUUGUGUCAAUUCUUAAGUUCUCGAGCAUAGCGUUGUUGAAAACUAUAAUGAGUUAAAUGAUUGAUGAAAAAUAAAAAGAUUAAUUAUUAAUUAAUUUAUAUAAAAAAAAUUAUAUGUAGCUUUGUAUUUUUUUAUUUUUUUUUCAUGUUAAGGACUUGGUCAUAAGUAUUACUUUUUUGAAUCAUUUAUAAUAAAUAUUUUCAAAUCAAUUUAUAUAUUAAUUAAAUUUUAAUUUCUUAAAUAUUAAAAAUAUUUAGGUAGAAGGCAUGCAAAUUUUAAAAGAGUACGUAUAUAAGAUAGUUAUUUUUUUUUCUUUUUUGAAAUCAAAAUAAUUAAAAGCCAUUGAGCAAUCCAAAUUCCAAAUCCCAUCAUCAUAAUGGACUCCUUAAUAAUUAUUUUUAACCUUUGGAUAUUAGUAGGGAAACCUAGCUAGUUGAAGGAACCAACAGCAGGACACAGAUCUAAAUAAUUACAGCUCGCCAAAUCUUACAUCUGCAAAGCAUAUUAUGUUCAUUUCACCAUAAGGUCACACAGCAUCCUUUGUAAUCUCUCCCACACUCCAUGACUCUUCGGCUGACUUCUCGAGCUCGGAAUGCACCACCUUCGACACUGGAGCCUCCUUUGCAUGAGCUGAAUCAUGUUGUUGAAUCACCAGCACUGAAGAGACCACACCGUGCCUUGAUGAGGCCAAUAUGUCUCCAAUAGGUCCCAACUCUGCAUGUUCAGCUUGGCGGUAUGCUAAUUCUGCAAUCAUAGUUGAUGGAAACCUGCCUUUGCCAACAAAAAUAAGGUCAUAAUCCCCACUCCUUCCUAUUGCUAACACUCUCUCAACAAUGUCGCUUACAACAUUCUCUGUGUACUCUACUGUCCCCUCCCACUUGCUCUUAAAUUCAGCAAUUCAGCUAUGGCAGUCUCGUCCAGGUCCUGCUAAGUUCAUCAGAAAAUUAACAAAAAAUUGAAAGAAAUUUAAUUGAACUUAAUAACACACACACACACACACAGUAGGUCUGGAAGCUGAGAGGACAUGCCUUUUCCUUCUCUGGGUUCAUUAUAGCAGUGGAGAAGCUGUAACUUAGUUCAGUACUACGACGUUCGGAUGGUGAAAGCUGUAACACAACAUGGUUUUUUUCUUGCCCUUCUUUUUGGACGAAUCUGACAGUGGUAACUUUAACCACUGGGUGUUCUGCCAUCCUACCACCCAACUCCAAGGCUUCACGAUCAUCAGGUCCACCAAAAAACAUGAUGCAGACCCUUUGGGUUAUAUUGGUGUUAGCCUCUGAAAUCUGAGAGUCAUUUCCAAAUCCACGAUCCACAAGCACUGCCACUGAACAAGGUGCAUUUUUUAGCACCCUUUGAUUCACCCCUCUCCAUCCAUGGCCAACAUUGUCCAUGAUCUGAUCACCAUCUCCCCUCAAUUGUUUAUGAAAUGGCAAAAUGAUCAGAGUUACCUUCUUAUUCUCUCCCACUUGGCAAAUAUCCUCAUGCGUGGUAGUCAAAUUUGAGAUUGAUGUCAUGGUGCGCACAGAAAUUCGGUCCAGUUGGCUAUAAGCCUGGAAUGCCCCUGUGACUCGAUCAUUCCAUUCACUAGACUGAGAUUGAUUAAUAAAUGGAAGUCCAUUUUUACGGACCCUUUGGACCAUGAUGAUUGAUGAUGAUCGCUCAGUAAGCUCCACCAGAUGCAUGAUAUAGAGUUUGAGUUGGGAUUUUUUAGUGCUCCUUAUUGACUCAAUGAGACUAACAAGUGGAGGUACAUUUUCAGAUCCAUGAGCACAAGCAAGGAUACGUAGCUCGUCCUUUGUGCCUUUUGUGGUGGUCAGGUCACCUAGCUUGCGGUGGGAGCUAGUGGAGGAGCCACCACGGGCGGGUUUGUAGAUAGCCAUGACGGUUGGGGUGGUGAUGAAGGUGGUAAAGAGUGCCAUGAGAACAAGGAUUGCGAAGCUCUCAUCAUUAAGGACCUGUAGAAAAGAAAAAUGACUGUAUUAGAGAUGAAAUAACGCACCGGCGUGGGUUACCAUAUUCUUAAUUAGUUUUUAAAUAGGAAAGACAUUUUAUUGUAAUUUAUUUAUUUUUUGUUGAAUAAUAAAUAGUAUUCUCAUAAUCAGUUUUUAUAUAGAAACUUGAAAUGGAUAAAAUAUAAAUAUCUAUUUUUUUAUCGAUAAAUAAUGAAUUGAGCAUUGAUAUAAUAAAAGCCUGACAUAUUGAUACUCGUUAUAAUCUCUAACAAGAACAUCUAUUAUCAAUUUUUAUGAGAAACAUUUCUACGCAAUUUCCCGCACCUAGUUGCUUUUUCACAAUGAAUGGUAAUAUAUGUAAAUAAAGAGAUCAUAAAAUUUCACAUAUUAGUUUUAUAUUAUAGAAAACAGUAAGAUUAUAGAAAACAGUAAGCCGUGGUUAAAUCACUAUGCAAAAUAUACCGUGGACCAGGACAUAUGGAAUCGUGGAUUGCAACACUAAUUUUUUUUAUUUCACUCUUAUUAGAAUAAAUUAAAGGUCAAAUUAAAUAAAUUUGUUGAAAAAAUAAAAGAUUAAAAGAAAAUGAAUUGAAGUGAAAAAAAAAAAAAUGAGUGACAGUUUUAAAAUUGACAAGAAAUUUGUAUUGCUAUCUUAUUUUUUUUAUUUUUAGGUUCUUGGUUUGAGAAAAAAAAGUAAAAGUUGUCAGAUUUCAAUGAUAAAAAAAAAAGUGCUGAUUGACAUUGAUUAUAGCAUGAAAAAUAUUGAUUUUGGUGUCAACGGGUUCAAUUUGAUGAGCGGAGUUUCAUCUAGGUUUUUUUUUUUUUUUCUUGGCUGAGAUAAUAGAUUUGAGCUUAAUAAGUUUUUUGAAUUUAGUUUGAUUUUGGAUUUUUAGAUUGUUUGGGUUAGGUUUAGAUCUUUAUGAUAUUUUUUUUAAGUGUUUUGGCUAAAAUCAAAAGUUGAAAAAUUCAAUUUUGGAACAUAAAAAACCCUUUCCGUGAUUUUUUUACAACCCUUUAGUCAUUUAAAAUUGGAGUUGUACACAACAAGUCAUUUGUAUCAUUUGAAAAAAAUGGUUGGGACCAAGCAAAAAAAAUAAAAUGUGCAAGUAUGCGGGCCUAACUUUGAAUCCGGUCCAUUUGGAUUUUACUCUUGGGCUUCUUUUUGAAAGGGCUUUUAUUUUUUAAAAAACCUUAAUUUAAAAAAAUAUAAGAAAAUUAUACAUCAAUUAAAUUAUUAUUUUUGUAUUAUGUGGGGAUGAAAAUGUUUUUGUCACUUAACUUUUUUUAAAAAAAAAAAUUGAUUUCUUUUCAGUUUGUUUUCUAUAGAGUUAUUUUGGUUUUAUAAUCCAUAUCACGAGUUUAACGGGUUAACCUAAAUUGACUUAGACUAUUUCCUUUUCAUUUCUUUUUAAAAAUCAAUAUUUUUUCAAUUUCGCACUUUGACAAUGGGUUGGUUAAGAACUAACUUUUUUUUUUCUAAUUAUUUUCUAUAGGGUAAUUUCAUUCUCAUAACUUGGGUGUGAUAUGUUUGGCAUGUUUACCUAGAUUUACUCGAUUUGCAUUUUUAUUUUUUUUUCUUAAAUUAAGUAUAUUUUAAAUAUAUCAUGGUCUCAUAACCCAACUCAUGAUUAAUCUAGGUUCACCUGAAUCGAUUUAAUAUAUUAUCAUCUUAAUAUUUAAAAAAAAAUAUUGUUCAGUGUGUCACCAUCCUAAAAUUUAAAAAAGUUUCAUCUAAUAUGUAACAAAUUUUGAAUCAUGAUUAAAAUAUUUUUAAAAAAUAUAUAUUAAUAACAUCUAAAUAUUUUUUUAUAUUAAAAAAAUUAACUCAACUCGUGUCAUAGCAGUAACCAAUAAUCUGGUUAGUGAGUUAGUUAGUAUAGAAAGUCAUGAAUUUAAAAUAUGAUAUAUUUUUUUCUUGUUUUCGCCAGUAUAGGAAACAAAGAUUCAAAGAAUAAUACUCCCUUUCUUUUUCAUUUUUUGAGAGCAAGGAGUACGCCUUUUUGUACCUUACUUUUCCUGAAGUGGCUGAAAUAGUAUAGUUCCGGAUUCGAUCUCGUUUUAGUUUCCUGAGGCGGCGAAUCUUUCAAUUAACUAAACAAAACAGUAGAUUGUGUCUGUAUCUAAUGGGUUUACUUGUACUAGUUUCUAAGCACUAAAAUAACUUUCCGAGAAAACUUGAAUGCUAGCUUGAAACUACUGGAAAGUGGAAAUUAGUCAAUUAACUCACCCUUUUCUCCUUGCCAAUGUCAAGGACGAUGAGUUCCACCAAUCCUUUGGUGUUCAUCAGCACACCAAGCGUCAAAGACUCUCUUGCUGGAAUCAUAAACAUCAUCGCCACUACAAAGGUGCCAAUAAUCUUCCCUGCACAAGCUGUAGUUAUAACCAGCACCAGAAGCCCCCAGGACCUUCCAUUAUGAAUUGUAGCCACAUCAGUCUUCAAACCACUAGAAGCGAAGUAAAGCGGGAGAAGCAAAGCCGAAACAAAAUCCUCAAUCCUCUCUAUCAAUCUCUCUGCAAACACACCUCCUUUAGGGAUAGUGAGUCCAAAAACAAAGGCACCAAAAAUAGAAUGAAUUCCUAUAAGGUCAGUAAUGAAUCCUGACACCAGAACCCCGGUCAAUGUGAAGCAUAUAUAAGCUUCAUCUAUCAUAUUAUUUUUCGAGGAGCAUCUGCGGGCAAUCCAUUUCAUAGCAGGUCGGAUCACAGUUAACAUGAUUGCAACAAAGGCACCACCUGAAAUAAGAACCCAUAUUGAUAUCAAGGGACUUUUGUGCUGGCCAUCUGCCCCAUUGCCAGCUAAAGCAACUGCCAAGGCUAGCAAGAUCCAAGCCGUGACAUCAUUAAAUGCUGCAGCAGCCAUUGCAGUCUCCCCUACUUGAGUUGUUAGUAGCUUGAGCUCUGCAAGAAUGCGGGAUAAAACAGGAAAUGCUGUGAUUGAAAGUGCUACCCCUAUGAACACCAAGAACUGAGUAUAACCAACUUGAUCUUCUCCUUCAAUUGCUUUUCUAAGGACAAAUGCUACAGCUACGCCACAGACAAAUGGGAGUGAUAUUCCUGCUACUGCUAUGCCAAAAGCACGCUUACCGCUCCUGCGAAUUGAGGAUAAAUCAAGCUCUAGACCUACCAGGAAAAGAAAGAAAAGAAGACCAACACUCGCUACAGAUUCGAGUAUCGGUGUGCUCCAUUUCGGGAAAAUCCAGUUCAAGUACUCUUUGUUUCGUCCGAUAGCUGAUGGUCCAAGCAGAAUCCCACCCUGAAAAUAUAAAUUUGAACAUCAUCAAUGCAUGAUCAAUAACAUAAAAUCACAGAUGUAUGAUUCUAAAGAAUUUAGUAGCUCACAGCUAUUUCAGCAAUGACUUUGGGUUGGCGGAGGGGCUUGAGAAGGAAGGCAAGAAGACGGCUAACCACUACGAUUAAGGUAGUCUGAACUAUUAGUAAUGGGAAGGCAUGGUCCAGGGGAUUAUCACCUUGCCAGGCUCCAUUUGAUGAUGUUCUGAUGGAAGUUAUGUUGAUUACUGGCAUGGUUGUCGAUGGACUAAUAUAUAUUCUACUAAUUUAUAACUUUAUGCUAAACUAUUUAAUUUAUAAUUCUCAUCAAGAAGAAGUUGAGUUGAGUGUAAUUGUGGAGAAAAGAAGAGAGUGAGUGGUAUAGAGAAGUUGUUGCAAUUUAUAGAGUGAGAAGUACCCUUUCUCAAGGAGCAAAUUCUACAAUACUUUCGGGAAUAUUUUAAAGAAAUUGCCUUGGCUAUUACCAAUGAUUAAAGAGAUUCGUCAUUGCAUAUUCUAUAUUUCUCGAAACAAUUACUCUGUUGUUUUUUUACUUUUGAUUAGGGUUAACUAGAUUGAUGCCCGUAUUAUAUUGUAGGCUAGCCAAAAAAAAAUUUAAAAUGUAAAAAAAUAAUUAAUAAGAUAAUGCAAGCUAAAAAAAGCAAAAAAAUAAAAAUUGAGGAUUGAAUCAUUAAUUAACUUGACUGGAUUUAAUAAAUUCGGCCAAUUUAAUAAUACAAAAAAUAAAAAAUACAACAACAAUAAAAUUAACUAAAAAAAUAACAAAGAUGGACUUUUUUGCUAAAACAAAGCUAUUCUCACAAAAGCAAAUUAAUUAAAACUAUAAAGUUUAAUCAUUAAACAAUCUAAUAUUGAAAAAUAAAGUAAUCAAAAUUAUUUUUAAAUUAAAAAAAAAAUCAAUAAAAAUAACAUAGCCGAAUUUAAAAUCAAAUAAAUGUCAAAAACAAAACAGAAAAUUAAAUAUCAUGUUUUGUAAACUUGUUCAAACUAAGCCUAAGAAUUUGCUUCGUUUCAUUCUUUUCACCGAUAGAAUCACAAGUAGUAUUGAUGUUUUCAUUUCACCUUCUCUUAGCCACCAGCUCUUUUACAACACUGAUAAUGUGAAGUAUAAAAUUCUAUAUAUUAUCUACCACACUUCUCGGCUUAAAUGUUACUACGAAUUGGAGAGAAGAUUUGUAAUCAUGAUCGUUGAAAAGUUUCGACAGUUGAAUUGAUAUUUGUCUUGAUUGACAGCCAGAAAAAGAAGAAAGCAGAUAUAAAAAGCGAUAGAGAUUCUCCACUAACUAGAAUCAGAAUUCGUAUUUUAUUAUUGAUUAUUUUUCUCUAAUACGAAGUUUAUAACUUUUUGAAUAGAACAAUAACCAACAGAAAAAUCAGAAUUCUAAUAACAUGAAAUUUGAAAUUAAACUACAAAUCAGAAAAGAAAAAAAUAAUAAUAAAAUUGACUCAAACAAUAUCUUCUAAGUCUAAUUUGAAUGUCUUUUCAACCAAUGAUGACUAUAGUUAACCAAUCCUUUUAUUAGAUAUUGUUUCUGACAACCCAAUCGAAAGUUGUGAGUUUUUUUUUUUAUUAAUGUGAAUGUACGGGUUAGUUUGCGCACACCUCGUCUAAUUUUACGGGCCUGAAGUUAAUAACCAUAUAAACCUCAAGUUUUAGGUUUUUUCUUCCGACGAGUUGUUUGAUCUUUUUUUCUUAACUUAGUUAUAUCCCAUCGAUCCAUAGAAAAAUGUUUGACCUAAAUACUUGAAGGACCAAAGUAAAAAAAUUUGAAACAUUAAGAGCUCAAUUGUGUUUAGCCAAAGAUACAAGGAGCGGUACGAUUAGUUGUUAUUACAAUGGAAUAAUAUCAGAUUUCUUUCGAUGGAUUCCAGUGUGAUUUGAUUACGGGAACAACAAUAAAAUUUUGGGUUAGAUAUGGAAUCUAAUCCACAAAAAUGAUGGAUUCGAUUCGGCGUUUGACUAUGAAGCAAGGGCCUAUUUGAAUAGUUUGAUCACUAGACCAGCAAGAGUUUUGGCUUGGUAUGGAAUAUCGUCCACUUAUAAAGGAAUCCGAUUCGGCGUAGAUUGGUCUUGUCUCCAUCGAGAAGCAUUUUUGCCUCUUUUAUUUAUUUUCCCCCCCUCGAGAAUCAACUGGCUUAGUGUUUUGAAACCUUUUCAAGAAGUGUUUUUCAAUAUAAAAAAAAACAAAUUCGAGAAGGGGGAAUCGAACCUGCUUUCGUGCAUUUACAAAUUAAUCUCGCGGACAUUUUUGACAUGUGAAAAACAUAAAGAAAAAUAAAAGUUAAAUUUCCCCUCACACAAGCUAUCGAAGCACAAUAGAAAGGUGAGCCAGCUGACGGGAUAUCCUGAUCUUCAACUUAAUUAAUUCUAAUUAUAGUAUGGAGUUGAUUUUGAUUAGUCAAUUGGGAAUAUAUGUCAUGACUUGCCUAGUCGAUAGCUUAGCAAAGAUCGAUGAUUAUGUAUCGAUAAGGCUAAGUUCAAGAAGAGUGAGUUAUGCAAAGGGAUAAGCCUAGUAAAAAAAACUUGGAAUUUUUAAUUUUAAUGUUGGAUAGUGAUUGAAUUUUUAAUUUUAAGCCUAAUACAAAAACUCACUGCAAAUUAAACUAAUCUCUUUAAAAUGUCAUGUAACUAAAAAAAUAUAAAAUUAUCAAUAUUUAAAUAGAAAUAAUUAAUAAAAAUAAAUAACAAAAAAUAAUGUCAAGCGUUGAUGGGUCAAGCCCACAUGUUUAACCUUAAUAAAAAAAAACCUAGGUGCAUCUCAGUCUGGAAAGUCAAGACCGAGUUUGGGUUUUUUUUCAUCAGGAGCAGGGCAGCAUAAAGCUAGGCGAACAAUAUUUCAAUGAGAUUUAUUUUUUAAAACACAUGUGGUAGGUCAACUAUAAUGGCAAGCGACCUAUCACCACUUAGUCAUUUUCCUAUCAUUUUCGGUGACUGGAAAAUCAAAGUCCAAGUUUAUUUAUUUAAAAAAACAAUUUUCAACUCUUUUUUACCUGAAAACACCUUCAAAAAACCAUCUAAACAUCUAAAAACUACUUAAAACCCCAAAAUCACUCUAAAAAAUAAAAAUCAAUUUAAUCAAAAUAAGUAAAACAGACUUUAAUCUACUUUUCCUCCCAACUUGUUUUUACCUUCAUUAAACUCCUUUUUAGAAGAGGAAUCCAUUGACACAAUGAUUGUUUUUUUUUGUGGCUUUAAUGUAGUUAACCGACAACUUUAUUGUUUUUUAGUGAAUUUCUCUCUGUUAUCUCAAAUUCAAGAAGUAAAUUAUUGUAAACUAGCAAAUAUAUCAUUUUCAUGUGAGUUUCUCUCUCCUUUCUUAAAUAUAUAGACUGAAAAAUAAAUAAAAUAAACCUUUGUACCCAAAUGAAAAUCCUAAAAGUCCUCACUUUAAAUUUUAUCUUUCUACUAUAAUUUAAAAUUUGAUAUCAUGGAAUUAUGUCACAAAAUGAUUAAAUAAAAAGAAAAAAAAACAUAAGGAUGAUAUUUUAAAAAAUUACACUAUUAGAAAAAAAUAAAAAAAGAUAAUGAAUAUUUGUAAAGAAAAACCCAAUUCUUUUAGUAUACUUGUUAAUGAUUAUUUUCUCUUUAUAUCUAUUUACAACUUGACACAAAGUCAAAGAGUGGAGUUUAAGAGAGAGAGUACUAUCUACAACACACACACACACACACACACACACACAUAUAUAUAUAUAUAUAUAUAUAUAAAUAUAUAUUAGUACGAUCAGUAAUUAUAAACUUUAUCAUAUAAUCUGGAAAAGGACAAGAUUUUCACAAAUGUAAAAGUAAAGACUUGUCUUUAUAAUAUUGUAGAAUAAUCUUUUAAUUACACCCCUAUUAUAUACCUCUGAAGUAGGAAUAUUAACCAUAAAUCAGAAAAUAGGGCAUACAAGUAAAAAUAGUUGUAACUCAUGCGUGUUUGACAGUGUGGUUGCGGAUACUUUUCAAAUAACUUUUUGUAUCAAAAUACAUGCCAAUGAUUUUUUUUAUUUUAAAAAAAUUAUUUUUGAUAUCAACACAUUACAAAUCAUUUUAAAUUUUAAUAAAAAAUAAAAAAAAUUCAAAUUUUAGUGGGCCCCUCUUACACUAUCCCACUUGGGGAGACGUUAAACAGGUGCACCCGCUGAGUGCAAUUCUAGUAUGUUGUAAAGUAACCUACGUUUCAGUAAUUAUAAACUUGUAAUCUGGAACGCAUAAGAUUUUCACAAAUGUGAAUGCAUAAGAUUCUCACAAAUGUAAAAGCAAAUUUACUGGUCUUUAUAAUAUUGUAGAAUAGUCUGUUAAUUACACCCGAUAAAUCGGGAAACAGGGCAUAGAAGUAAAAAAAGUUGUUACUCAUUUAGACAGGGGCCGCGGCUAGCGCAGGCCCCCUCUACCACAAAUUUUGACGUACACUCUCCCACUUGGGGAGAUGUUAAACUGGUGCACCCGCUGAGUGCAAUGCUAGCCACCAGCCUAGGCCUGAGCCUUAUUGAUCGCCCAAAGACCCCGUCCAGGUAAGUAUGUUGUAAAGUAGCCCGUCCAUUCUAUUUUAUACGCUUUUCGUCCUGUCUUUGCUGCUUUCUUUCCGAUGUGGGAUACGAACAACAAACUUUAUCCUGUUCUUUAUACGCGUGUAAGGUGCCAAAGAUAAAUAAAUUAAUCGUAUGUAAUUGUUUUUUGGUUUAUAAAGGAGUUGAAGAGGAAAGCAAGCAGUUAAGGAGUGUUUGACACAAUUUAUAUUUUUUAUAUAUAUAUUUUAAAAAAAUAUUUUUGGAUUGAAAAAAUAUUAAAUUAAUAUGUUAGUAUUGUUUUUUUGAUAAUUUUAAUGUAUUGAUAUAAAAAUUAAAAAAAUAAUAUAUUUAUAAGUAAAAACCUAUUUUAAAAAAUACCUUGCACUAUAAUUCAAACUUUUUAAAUCUCUAAAUCCCAAGAGACUUGGCUGAAUCAACGUAAUGAUGUAUUGAUUUAGAAUUUGCUUGAGGCUAGAUGGGUGAAAAAAACUUAUUUUUUCACUAAAAAGAUGUUGUUUUAUUUUUAAAAACCCUCGUCUAUGUUGUAAUGGCUUUUCUUGCUAUAACGUUGAGUUCUCUAAAUUAAGUUGUAAUUAAUAGUAUGUAAUUAUUUGACGACGUUUAAAGUUGAAUGAAUACAAUUUGAAUUUUUAUGCCACGGGAGAAUAUGAUUGACAUGUAAAGUUCAUUUUUUUCUAAGAGCAAGAUGUGGUUUCUUUGUGCUCCGAUGCAUUAAAUUUUGGAUGGUAUGAAUUACGUUCAACUGCAAUUAAAGGUAUGAGAAUUCGUUAGGCAGCCAUUCAAUUCGUUGGUGUUAACCAAAAUCCUUGCUUUCCUAAGAAACUACUAUUUGGUUUCAUAAGCAUAUCUAUAGCCACAGUUUCCUGGGCACUUGCUAAGUUGCUGCAGAAGUGGGAGAGGGGAUUGCAAGAAUACCAUGCUCCGAGAAAGCAUCUUUAAUUCGGUAAAAAAAAGAAGUGGGAAGCAUUUUAAUAGAGUGAAUCCAAGGUAGCCUGGGACUUAGUUGCUCACACCAAGAUCGGAGGGUGGUUUAGGCUUCAGAUUUUUUUUUUGAAGGAAUGGAACUCAGUCUGUGUUGGCAAUGGUUCUUUAAGGGAGCUCAGAAUUCCAAAUGACCGUAGUUGGAAUGGGAAGAAAGUUCUAAAACUGGGGUCUGAUUUAGGACUGCAUAUGUGGAGCACAGGUAGGGGAAAGGAAAAAAAACAUUUGUUUAUGGUGGAAUCACUGGCAGGCUAAGGAGACCUGGAAGGAGGAUCACCAGUGAAUCUGGCUUGAUCUAUACUGCAAAAGUUCAGGUCCUUGGACAGAUUGAGAUGGCCAAGCCAAGGUCAGAUGACAUGAUGAGCAUUCAAAUCGCUGUUUGCAAUAGCGAGGAUCCUGUAAUACGGAAUCCAUCCAACCAGCCAUCCUUACUAUCUUAUGCAUCAGAAUCAUUAGUUACACGGUAGCAUUCAAAUCUCAUUGUUACAUUGUCAAAGACCUUGAGCUUUUGAAGGCAAGCCAUCACCUUAGAGACUUCACGCCACGUUAUAACAACGAAAGCGACCACCACAUCCAGAACUGAAAACUGACUCCAUGUAUCUUACGCAGUUGGUUCUUUAUAAAACUUGUGCUUAUCUCAAAAGAUUUCAUGCUUAGAGUAGGAACCAGAAGAAAAAACACUUCGGCACUUUGUUAGUACAGGGUACAGGAUAAUAGUUUCUUAAGGACCCAAAGAGUUGAUAUCCCACAUCGGGAAGAGAAAACUGAAGGCGGGACGAAAGUCAUAUAUAUUACAAUGGGUGGGCCCCAAUAUUUUCUCAGACUGCGCCUUCGGGCAAUCAAGGCCCAGGCCUACUCUAGUAGCCCGCAGGCGCCCAAGCGGGAGAGUGUCUGUCAAAAUUUGUGGUUAUCGGGGCCCGGGCUCCCUGUUUGCUCUGGAUAGCUUUUAUUUUGGGCCCGGGCUCCCUGUUUGCUCUGGAUAGCUUUUAUUUUUUAAAUUAAUAGUUUUUCGACCUAAAAAAAAUACAAAAAUAUCAUUUUGUUUGAAAAGCAUUUUUAAAAUGCUUUUACAUGCUUAUAGUUGAUCUAGAUGAAUGGCCUGCACUUCACUGUGACUGGAUCCUAACUAAUCAAUAGAAGCAAAAUUUUAAAUUAAAGUAAAGUGGAGUGAAAAUGCAUGUUUCUCCUGAAAAGAAAUUGUCAAAUUUGCAGCAACUUGUUGUAAAAAGAAAAACAAAUAAACAGCAACAAAGCAAAAUAAUGUAGUGAAAAUCGUAUUGUUUAAUAACAUGACAUGAUUCUUCAUCGUGCUUGAUUGUUUUUGGCAAUUGUUUUUGCUAAAAACAUGAUUGUCAUAGCCAUUUUGCACCCUAUUUUUCUAGCAAUGUAAAAGAGAAGAACAACAUGGAGAA
rnacentral:lncRNA from 1 species